rnacentral:rRNA from 1 species
AUGGAUUUUUUGUUUCUUUACUGGCUUCAUAUAAUUCUGAAAACACAAGUUUUCUUGAAGCCUCUUGCUCAUAUCUCUCAUCAAAGUGUGCAAUUCUAUAAUGUUUCUUUAACAGAUCCCACACUAUACAUCUUCUGA